UGACCUCAGAUCAGGCAAGGCUACCCGCUGAAUUUAAGCAUAUUAAUAAGCGGAGGAAAAGAAACUAACAAGGAUUCCCCUAGUAAUGGCGAAUGAAGCGGGAACAGCUCAAAUUUAAAAUCUCCGUUGCUUGCAACGGCGAAUUGUAGUUUCGAGAAGCACUUUCUCGGCGGAUCCGAGGUCGUCCAAGUUGCUUGGAACAGCACGUCGUAGAGGGUGACAACCCCGUCUGCGGCGACCUCGGCCGUUCACGAUGUGCUUUCGACGAGUCGGGUUGUUUGGGAAUGCAGCCCAAAAUGGGUGGUAAACUCCAUCUAAAGCUAAAUAUUGGCACGAGACCGAUAGCGAACAAGUACCGUGAGGGAAAGAUGAAAAGCACUUUGAAAAGAGAGUUAAAAAGUACGUGAAACCGUUAAAAGGGAAACGAAUGGGGUUAGCAAUGCGUCGUGCGAGAUUCAGUCGGUGGGUGGGCCAGGCGGGCGGUUGGCGGAUCUGAAUGGACCGCUGCCGUUCGGGUUGGUUUCCCGACCGUCGCACUUCUCGCANGCGCGCGCCAACGUCGGUUAGGGCUGGGUUUCAAAGGCGGU
rnacentral:ncRNA from 1 species